GUAUUUGGCAAUGGGCGCAAGCCUGAAUCUCGAUAUGCCGCGUGUGUGAAGAAGGUCUUCGGAUUGUAAAGCACUUUAAGUUGGGAGGAAGGUUAGUAACCGAAUACGUUGCUGAUUUGACGUUACCGACAGAAUAAGCACCGGCUAACUCUGUGCCAGCAGCCGCGGUAAUAAA
rnacentral:rRNA from 1 species